UACGUAGGGUGCGAGCGUUGUCCGGAAUUAUUGGGCGUAAAGAGCUUGUAGGCGGUUUGUCGCGUCUGCCGUGAAAAUUCGAGGCUCAACCUCGAACUUGCGGUGGGUACGGGCAGACUAGAGUGUGGUAGGGGAGACUGGAAUUCCUGGUGUAGCGGUGAAAUGCGCAGAUAUCAGGAGGAACACCGGUGGCGAAGGCGGAUCUCUGGGCCGAUACUGACGCUGAGGAGCGAAAGCGUGGGGAGCGAACAGG
rnacentral:rRNA from 1 species